rnacentral:rRNA from 1 species
GUGGUAAGUUGUCUCUUAAUUAGAGACUGGUAUGAAUGGUUUGACGUGGAAUAACUGUCUUUAGAGAAUAAAGUGAAAUUUCCUUUUAAGUGAAAAGGCUUAUAUAUUUGUAAAAGACGAGAAGACCCUAUCGAGCUUAAUUAGAGUUCCAUUGCUUUAAAAUGGCUUGAAUUUUUGUUGGGGCAACAUAGAUCAAAACAACGGUUUAUUAUUAAGCAUAAAUCCUCUAUCUGAGAGAAAUAGGCAAAAGCUACCGUAGGGAUAACAGCGUUAUUCUUCCUGAGAGAUCGAAUUGGGGGAAGAG